UGGGGAAUUUUGCACAAUGGGGGAAACCCUGAUGCAGCGACGCCGCGUGAUUUAGAAGGCCUUCGGGUUGUAAAAAUCUUUUCUAUGGGAAGAAAAUGACAGUACCAUAGGAAUAAGGACCGGCUAAUUACGUGCCAGCAGCCGCGGUAAUACGUAAGGUCCGAGCGUUGUCCGGAAUCAUUGGACGUAAAGGGUACGUAGGCGGGUAAGCAAGUUAGAAGUGAAAUCCUAUAGCUCAACUAUAGUAAGCUUUUAAAACUGCUCAUCUUGAGGUAUGGAAGGGAAAGUGGAAUUCCUAGUGUAGCGGUGAAAUGCGCAGAUAUUAGGAGGAAUACCGGUGGCGAAGGCGACUUUCUGGCCAUAACCUGACGCUGAGGUACGAAAGCGUGGGUAGCAAACAGG
rnacentral:rRNA from 1 species